AUGCAUCACAUCUUCUCCUUCGGGCUGGCAACUGGGAAGCAUGCCAUGGGCUCGGGUGAGCCUCUUGGUUCUCCCAUGCCAGACUUCCCUGGGACACCGGACGUCGAGGUCCUUGAUGGCCCUGACAAUCCCACUGCAAAGCCCUUCGACAAGCCAUUUGACCCCGUCCAUGAUAGGAAGAGGAAGAGAGGAGGCCUGAUGGAGGAGGAGAUCAAUGUCUUUUGCAGUAUGACCGAGGCGGUGAAGGAGGUGGCAACAACCAUCAGGGAGUGCAAGCCCCUCGACGUCCACCCUGACCUGUAUGGCGCUGUCAUGACCCAGGGUGGCUUCAGCGACGAGGCUCUCAUGGCAGCUCUCAGCCAUCUGCUUGACAACAAGGCCAAGGGUGUUGGGUUCGUUGCCAUGGCUGACGCUCACAGGGUGCUGUGGCUCAGGAGCUGGCUGGGCAAGCACUACUACUAG
rnacentral:rRNA from 1 species